CACGUAGGCACCAAGCGUUGUCCGGAUUUAUUGGGCGUAAAGAGCUCGUAGGCGGUUCGGUAAGUCGGGUGUGAAAACUUUGGGCUCAACCCAAAGCCUGCACUCGAUACUGCUGUGACUCGAGUCCGGUAGGGGAGUGGGGAAUUCCUGGUGUAGCGGUGGAAUGCGCAGAUAUCAGGAGGAACACCUAUGGCGAAGGCAGCUCUCUGGGACGGUACUGACGCUGAGACGCGAAAGCGUGGGGAGCGAACAGG
rnacentral:rRNA from 1 species